rnacentral:rRNA from 2 species
UAACUGGAGGACCGAACCGACUAAUGUUGAAAAAUUAGCGGAUGACCUGUGGCUGGGGGUGAAAGGCCAAUCAAACCGGGAGAUAGCUGGUUCUCCCCGAAAGCUAUUUAGGUAGCGCCUCGUGAAUUCAUCUCCGGGGGUAGAGCACUGUUUCGGCUAGGGGGCCAUCCCGGCUUACCAACCCGAUGCAAACUGCGAAUACCGGAGAAUGUUAUCACGGGAGACACACGGCGGGUGCUAACGUCCGUCGUGAAGAGGGAAACAACCCAGACCGCCAGCUAAGGUCCCAAAGUCAUGGUUAAGUGGGAAACGAUGUGGGAAGGCCCAGACAGCCAGGAUGUUGGCUUAGAAGCAGCCAUCAUUUAAAGAAAGCGUAAUAGCUCACUGGUCGAGUCGGCCUGCGCGGAAGAUGUAACGGGGCUAAACCAUGCACCGAAGCUGCGGCAGCGACACUGUGUGUUGUUGGGUAGGGGAGCGUUCUGUAAGCCUGUGAAGGUGUGUCGUGAGGCAUGCUGGAGGUAUCAGAAGUGCGAAUGCUGACAUAAGUAACGAUAAAGCGGGUGAAAAGCCCGCUCGCCGGAAGACCAAGGGUUCCUGUCCAACGUUAAUCGGGGCAGGGUGAGUCGACCCCUAAGGCGAGGCCGAAAGGCGUAGUCGAUGGGAAACGGGUUAAUAUUCCCGUACUUGGUGUUACUGCGAAGGGGGGACGGAGAAGGCUAUGUUGGCCGGGCGACGGUUGUCCCGGUUUAAGCGUGUAGGUGUGUGUUCCAGGUAAAUCCGGUUCACUUUAACACUGAGGCGUGACGACGAGGCACUACGGUGCUGAAGCAACAAAUGCCCUGCUUCCAGGAAAAGCCUCUAAGCAUCAGGUAACAUCAAAUCGUACCCCAAACCGACACAGGUGGUCAGGUAGAGAAUACCAAGGCGCUUGAGAGAACUCGGGUGAAGGAACUAGGCAAAAUGGUGCCGUAACUUCGGGAGAAGGCACGCUGACACGUAGGUGAAGUGAUUUACUCAUGGAGCUGAAGUCAGUCGAAGAUACCAGCUGGCUGCAACUGUUUAUUAAAAACACAGCACUGUGCAAACACGAAAGUGGACGUAUACGGUGUGACGCCUGCCCGGUGCCGGAAGGUUAAUUGAUGGGGUCAGCGCAAGCGAAGCUCCUGAUCGAAGCCCCGGUAAACGGCGGCCGUAACUAUAACGGUCCUAAGGUAGCGAAAUUCCUUGUCGGGUAAGUUCCGACCUGCACGAAUGGCGUAAUGAUGGCCAGGCUGUCUCCACCCGAGACUCAGUGAAAUUGAACUCGCUGUGAAGAUGCAGUGUACCCGCGGCAAGACGGAAAGACCCCGUGAACCUUUACUAUAGCUUGACACUGAACAUUGAGCCUUGAUGUGUAGGAUAGGUGGGAGGCUUUGAAGUGUGGACGCCAGUCUGCAUGGAGCCGACCUUGAAAUACCACCCUUUAAUGUUUGAUGUUCUAACGUGGACCCGUUACCCGGGUUGCGGACAGUGUCUGGUGGGUAGUUUGACUGGGGCGGUCUCCUCCUAAAGAGUAACGGAGGAGCACGAAGGUUGGCUAAUCCUGGUCGGACAUCAGGAGGUUAGUGCAAUGGCAUAAGCCAGCUUGACUGCGAGCGUGACGGCGCGAGCAGGUGCGAAAGCAGGUCAUAGUGAUCCGGUGGUUCUGAAUGGAAGGGCCAUCGCUCAACGGAUAAAAGGUACUCCGGGGAUAACAGGCUGAUACCGCCCAAGAGUUCAUAUCGACGGCGGUGUUUGGCACCUCGAUGUCGGCUCAUCACAUCCUGGGGCUGAAGUAGGUCCCAAGGGUAUGGCUGUUCGCCAUUUAAAGUGGUACGCGAGCUGGGUUUAGAACGUCGUGAGACAGUUCGGUCCCUAUCUGCCGUGGGCGCUGGAGAACUGAGGGGGGCUGCUCCUAGUACGAGAGGACCGGAGUGGACGCAUCACUGGUGUUCGGGUUGUCAUGCCAAUGGCACUGCCCGGUAGCUAAAUGCGGAAGAGAUAAGUGCUGAAAGCAUCUAAGCACGAAACUUGCCCCGAG